UCAGUAAUAAUUUCGACCCCAUUGACGAUAAUUUCUGGCUUCGUUACUGGUUGUUUUAAAUGUAGGACAAUGUCUAUCAAUUGUGGUUUUAUUUGGUCAGAUUUCUGCUGUUUUAGUUUUUUUCUACCAUUUUUAGAUCAGAUAUCAUUCACCUAAGGAAGAAAUAGCUUUACCUGGGUGUAUAAAACACGUAUCACGUGAUAAAACAGCAUGUCGUGAAGCUGAUGUAUGUGCUAUACAGCAGGACACUCUUCCACUUGACGUUGGUUGAGUAUAUCCUGUAAGUUUACGUCAAGGUGAUGUCGAAAAGGAAAUUUUCUCCAAAGCAAUUACAAAUCAAAGUAGAGAAAUUUUAACAUGUAAGACGAAAGUUUAUUGGAUAUAAAUUCUCAUCAUAGAAUUGAAAGAUAGCGGUAACAUUUGGCUAAAGGAAUUUCUCUUCUUAUUGCAGCAUAUGUAUUACCUUGUGAUGACUUAAAAACUGAUGAUGGAGCUGGUUGUGCCUUCUCAAAUAUUCAGUUCAGCUCCCCAUUACAAUUAACUCCAUUGUUCAUAUCGUUCGUAUCAGGGAUUCCGAGCCCACAUUUUUCAGAAAGUUUAAGUUAAUUAGUUUUGUAUUAUGGUUAUUAAGCCCCAAGAAGCUUUAGUAGUAGAACUUUGGGUAUGUUGGUAACUCGAUCACCAAAAACUGGUAUUGUUUACAUUAUUACUACAUAGUAUAAAAGUGGCAGGGAUAAUACUUGCUUUCUGCUAAUGGCGUCUUUAAUACUUGCUUCAGUACUCCAUUCUUUAUGUUGGUUGUAAUAGAAUUGGCUGUCAUGUACCCAUUCCAUUUAUUCCAACAGUAGCAUCUCCAUGUCAUUAGUAGUAAUAGUUUGCAUCAAUUUCAGCUUUGAAAUUAGUAGUAAUUAGUAUUUAGUAGUAACGGUCUAACAGUGACUAAAUUCUACAUCACAGCACAACUUCAGUAUGAAUCUUGUUUGUGUUUAUACCAAUAUGGUCCCUGUGGUCCUUUAUAUGAUUGCAAAAGCAAUAGAUCAAAACACUACAACUUGAAGUACGGAUUCCAUUACCUAAAAAUCUUCAAGAUUUUACAUCGAUAUGUAAGGGUGUGAUUUAAUCCAUUAUUGAAACUGUUUGAAUGCACUUCACAUAGUUAUAUUGGCGCUUUGGACACACUCACAUAGUUGCAUCAACAAUUUAGCUCUUUUAUGUAAAGCAUUUAUGGCGUAAUCUAUACAUGCAUAUGAAAUUUAGUUGUGUUCCCAAAAAAAACAUGCUCAGAUUACAUAGAUAUACAUAAUUAUGGUGUAUUAAUUUCUACCUUUUAAAACAAAUGUGAUAUAUGCAUAUGAAAUUUAACGAAAGAGUUGGGUUGCCUAGAAAAAGCAUGCCUAGAUUGCACUGGUAUGCAUAUAUUAAAAUAUUAUAUCUCAACGCACGUCCCCACAGCUUGGGCAUGAUUUUUUCGGCCAAUGUUAUACAAUACUAAAUUUUCUUGUCUAUUUGUUUUAUGUAGAAGUGAAUGAAGAAGAAGACAUUGAUGUAAACUUUACGUCAUUCACAAAUUUGUAACCGUUUACAUUUGAAGAACUUGGAGAACAUGGAAGAAUUGAAGAACUUGGUGGAGUUGGAGUAGCAAGUGGAAUUGGUACUCGUGGGUUAAUAGAUGAAGACGCUGAUGGGAAUUGGCAAGAAGCAUCACCUUCUCAAACUUAGAAUGAUUUAUGUUUUUUGUGAAUUAAGUGUCAUGGAUUUUAUUUUAGUAAUGUAGUUGAGACUUUGUUUGGUAUUUUAGAUAUGUUUGCAUU
rnacentral:lncRNA from 1 species